GACGAACGCUGGCGGCGUGCUUAACACAUGCAAGUCGAACGGUGAACCUGCUUCGGUGGGGGAUCAGUGGCGAACGGGUGAGUAACACGUGGGCAACCUGCCCCUGGCUCUGGGAUAACUCCAAGAAAUUGGGGCUAAUACCGGAUAUGACCGCUGACCGCAUGGUCUGGUGGUGGAAAGAUUUUAUCGGCUGGGGAUGGGCCCGCGGCCUAUCAGCUUGUUGGUGGGGUAGUGGCCACCAAGGCGACGACGGGUAGCCGGCCUGAGAGGGUGACCGGCCACACUGGGACUGAGACACGGCCCAGACUCCUACGGGAGGCAGCAGUGGGGAAUAUUGCGCAAUGGGCGGAAGCCUGACGCAGCGACGCCGCGUGGGGA
rnacentral:rRNA from 1 species